rnacentral:rRNA from 1 species
AUCUGGCUGCCUGUGCAGUCCGAGUUGUAAUUUGAAGAGGAUGCUUUUGGCAAGGUGCCUUCCGAGUUCCCUGGAAUGGGACGCCAUAGAGGGUGAGAGCCCCGUAUGGUCGGUCGCCGAGCCUCUGUAAAGCUCCUUCGACGAGUCGAGUAGUUUGGGAAUGCUGCUCAAAAUGGGAGGUAAACCCCUUCUAAAGCUAAAUAUUGGCCAGAGACCGAUAGCGCACAAGUAGAGUGAUCGAAAGAUGAAAAGCACUUUGAAAAGAGAGUUAAACAGCACGUGAAAUUGUUGAAAGGGAAGCGCUUGCGACCAGACUUGUGCUCGUCGAAUCAGCCGUCGCUCGUCGGCGGCGCAUUUCGGCGGGCUCAGGCCAGCAUCAGUUCGCUGUAGGGGGAGAAAGGCGGUAGGAAUGUGGCUCUUCGGAGUGUUAUAGCCUACCGUAUAAUACCCCUCGGUGGACUGAGGACCGCGCAUCUGCAAGGAUGCUGGCGUAAUGGUUGUCAGCGACCCGUCUUGAAACACGGACCAAGGAGUCGUCCUAAUAUGCGAGUGUUCGGGUGUAAAACCCCUACGCGUAAUGAAAGUGAACGGAGGUGAGAGCUUCGGCGCAUCAUCGACCGAUCCUGAUGUUCUCGGAUGGAUUUGAGUAUGAGCAUAUUGGGCCCGGACCCGAAAGAAGGUGAACUAUGCCUGUAUAGGGUAAAGCCAGAGGAAACUCUGGUGGAGGCUCGCAGCGGUUCUGACGUGCAAAUCGAUCGUCAAAUAUGGGCAU